rnacentral:rRNA from 1 species
GACAGAGGGUGCAAACGUUUGUUCGGAAUUACUGGGCGUAAAGCGUGUGUAGGCGGUGAGGUAAGUCGGAUGUGAAAGCCCAGGGCUCAACCCUGGAAGUGCACUCGAUACUGCUUCGCUUGAGUACUGGAGAGGUUGGUGGAAUUCUCGGUGUAGAGGUGAAAUUCGUAGAUAUCGAGAGGAACAUCUGUGGCGAAGGCGGCCAACUGGACAGAUACUGACGCUGAGACACGAAAGUGCGGGGAGCAAACAGG